GGUCCUGUAGCUCGGUGGUUAGAGCGACGGUCUUAUGAGCCGUAGGUCGUGGGUUCGACCCCCGCCGGGACUA
rnacentral:tRNA from 1 species